CAAAAACAAACAAAAAA
rnacentral:sRNA from 1 species